AUGGAGUCUGGGCUGAGCUGGGUUUUCCUUGUUGCUAUUUUGAAAGGUGUCCAGUGUGAGGUGCAGCUGGUGGAGUCUGGGUGAGGCUUGGUACAGCCUGGAGGGUCCCUGAGACUCUCCUGUGCAGCCUCUGGAUUCACCUUCAGUAGCUCCUGGAUGCACUGGGUCUGCCAGGCUCCGGAGAAGGGGCUGGAGUGGGUGGCCGACAUAAAGUGUGACGGAAGUGAGAAAUACUAUGUAGACUCUGUGAAGGGCCGAUUGACCAUCUCCAGAGACAAUGCCAAGAACUCCCUCUAUCUGCAAGUGAACAGCCUGAGAGCUGAGGACAUGACCGUGUAUUACUGUGUGAGAGG
rnacentral:lncRNA from 1 species